rnacentral:rRNA from 1 species
UACGGAGGGGGCUAGCGUUGUUCGGAAUUACUGGGCGUAAAGCGCACGUAGGCGGCUUUGUAAGUUAGAGGUGAAAGCCCGGAGCUCAACUCCGGAAUUGCCUUUAAGACUGCAUCGCUAGAAUUGUGGAGAGGUAAGUGGAAUUCCGGGUGUAGAGGUGAAAUUCGUAGAUAUUCGGAAGAACACCAGUGGCGAAGGCGACUUACUGGACACAUAUUGACGCUGAGGUGCGAAAGCGUGGGGAGCAAACAGG